CACUUGGGCAGAAGGAUCCUCCUUGUAUCAUCACUGUGAGAGAACACUUCAAGGUUGAACACGAAGAACUGCAUACUUAUUUUGCUUUUUUUACACUGCAAGUCAUUCUGCAAUUGUCAGGCGGCCACGUGUAUGCAGCUCAUACCAGUGGCUUAGCGACAUCUCCUUCUUCCUCUGCCUGGAAUAUUUGUGUUUCACCCCAGGAUCAUCGUGAGUUUGAAAGCAUUUUUCAUACAGGAGACCUACUCAGGGACCAAA